GUGAAUCAUCGAAUUUUUGAACGCAAAUUGCACUCCCUGGUAUUCCGGGGAGUAUGCCUGUUUGAGGGUCGUUAGAAUAAAAAGUCGAGGCGUCGCGCUGUUUUUUAAGGGUGAUCGCGUCGGAAUUGAGCCGUCUUUCAAAUGUUAAUUCAUGUCAAAGUGGCUUAAAAUUCAUCCAUCCGGUACGACUAAAGCGUAUUUAAGAUCAACUUUGAUUAAGAACGCGCGAGGACGUACCAUCGCAUGUAGUACAUUAGACUUGGAGUCGUAAGGAUCAUACGA
rnacentral:misc_RNA from 1 species